rnacentral:rRNA from 1 species
UACGUAGGGGGCUAGCGUUGUCCGGAAUCAUUGGGCGUAAAGCGCGUGUAGGCGGUUCGGUAAGUCCGCUGUGAAAGUCGGGGGCUCAACCCUCGGAAGCCAGUGGAUACUGUCGAGCUAGAGUACGGAAGAGGCGAGUGGAAUUCCUGGUGUAGCGGUGAAAUGCGCAGAUAUCAGGAGGAACACCAAUUGCGAAGGCAGCUCGCUGGGACGUUACUGACGCUGAGACGCGAAAGCGUGGGGAGCAAACGGG